GGGGGGACGCUUACCACUUUGUGGUUCAUGACUGGGGUGAAGUCGUAACAAGGUAGCGCUAGGGGAACCUGGCGCUGGAUCACCUCCUUAUACGAUGAU
rnacentral:rRNA from 1 species